AGUCACUAAACAACAAGAGACAUGCAAAAGAAGUAGGUCCAUGGGUGUCUGAAGCUAUUUUCCCAAGGCACAAGAAUUCAGAUCAAGCAACCUUCAUAGCUGCAGUACGAAAGAGGUUAAGAUUUUCAAACCCAAGAGAGAAUAUCAGAAGAUUCAAGGAAUCAAGAGGGUUAGGUAAGGAAAUGCUUAAAGUUUUGCUAAAGGAAAUUGAAUUUGAUACUGAAUUUGAUAACAACUUGUAUGAGCAAUCCAUCACUGAAUUUGAAGAUAAGAAAAUUUCAAAGGAUGCUAAGACCAUAGAGAAUCAUCAUGUAAGAUCCCUGAAAGAUUGGAAAGUGAAUGAAAUAUUCCUGUUCAUUAAAAGUCAAUUGUGCACUAAAAGUGAGAAAAUGUUCACUGAUGCCAAAGCUGGACAAACUCUGGCAUGUUUCUCACAUGAGCUACUAAUUAGAUUUGCUCCCUUGGCUAGAUACAUUGAGCAUAAAUUAUCAAGGGCACUACCCAAAAGGUAUUACAUUCAUCAGAAAAAAAAUUUUGAUGAAUUAAAUAAAUGGGUUAUGGAGAGAGAUUUCUCAUCAAUCUGCACAGAGUCUGAUUAUGAAGCUUUUGAUUCCAGUCAAGAUGCCGCAUCAUUAGCUUUUGAAGUGGAAUUAAUGAAGCAUUUAAAUAUUCCAGUUGACUUGAUUGAGGAAUACAUCCAACUCAAAAUUCACCUAGAUAGCAAAUUGGGAACUCUGGCAAUAAUGAGAUUCACUGGUGAAUUUGCAACUUUCUUGUUUAAUACCUUAAUGAAUAUGGUUUUCACAUUUAUGAGGUACAAGAUCAGUGAUGAUGUGUCUAUCUGUUUUGCUGGUGAUGACAUGUGCGCAAAUGCUAGACUUAAAGAAAGGAGUGAUUAUGAUGACAUACUCAAAAAUUUAAGUCUAAAGGCCAAAGUUGGAUACACUGUAUGUCCAAGUUUUUGUGGAUGGUUGAUGACAAAGUACGGUAUCCUGAAAGACCCCAAGUUAAUUGAAUCAAGGCUACGUGUUGCAGAUGAAAAAGGCACUUUAGAUCUAGUACUUGAUUCAUAUUUUCUUGAGUACAAAUAUAGCUUCGAGUUAGGUGACCAUCUCAUGGAAGUGCUGUCUGAUGAACAAUUGGGAUACCAUUAUACAUUAACAAGAUUUUUCGUGCAACAUAAAGAGAAACUCAAAGGAACAGCAAAAGAAAUUUUGAUGACUUCAGCUGAUGAAGGAAAAAUCAUGUUUGGUGAGGUGACUUUUGGCAACUCUUCAAUUGGAUUUAACUGGAAAUCCAAUUUAGGUCAGAAUUUUAAGGAUGUGAUAGAUGUGAAAUGGCAGUCA
rnacentral:misc_RNA from 1 species